AUGCAUUGCGCAGCUACCAUGCAGUCGAGCGGUAACAGAGAGUAGCUUGCUACUCUGCUGACGAGCGGCGGACGGGUGAGUAAUGCUUGGGAAUGUACCUUAUGGUGGGGGACAACAGUUGGAAACGACUGCUAAUACCGCAUAAUGUCUUCGGACCAAAGCGGGGGACCUUCGGGCCUCGCGCCAUAAGAUCAGCCCAAGUGGGAUUAGCUAGUUGGUGAGGUAAUGGCUCACCAAGGCGACGAUCCCUAGCUGGUUUGAGAGGAUGAUCAGCCACACUGGGACUGAGACACGGCCCAGACUCCUACGGGAGGCAGCAGUGGGGAAUAUUGCACAAUGGGCGCAAGCCUGAUGCAGCCAUGCCGCGUGUGUGAAGAAGGCCUUCGGGUUGUAAAGCACUUUCAGUAAGGAGGAAAGGUUGGAUGUUAAUAGCAUUCAGCUGUGACGUUACUUACAGAAGAAGCACCGGCUAACUCCGUGCCAGCAGCCGCGGUAAUACGGAGGGUGCGAGCGUUAAUCGGAAUUACUGGGCGUAAAGCGUACGCAGGCGGUUUGUUAAGCGAGAUGUGAAAGCCCCGGGCUCAACCUGGGAACUGCAUUUCGAACUGGCAAACUAGAGUGUGAUAGAGGGUGGUAGAAUUUCAGGUGUAGCGGUGAAAUGCGUAGAGAUCUGAAGGAAUACCGAUGGCGAAGGCAGCCACCUGGGUCAACACUGACGCUCAUGUACGAAAGCGUGGGGAGCAAACAGGAUAGUCCCC
rnacentral:rRNA from 1 species